GUCAAAACUUCUUCUUCUUUUGUUUAUGAUUUGAAAACAUGGUGCACGGUCUGAAAAUUUCAUUUAAUGUCGUCUAAUAUAUUUAUUUGGUUCCGAUGUGUAUUUACGUGCUGCUGUAGAAGGGAGUUCCUCAUCCUGGGCUUCAGUGGAAUGUUCGUGCCCAGCGGAAACUGGGAAAUAUCUUCACCGAAAGCCGAUAUUCGUCGUUAGAAAUGGUGGGCUCAGGUCGGACGAGUGCUGGAAGCUCGUGCCGCGUCCCAGGGCAUGGUGGGCCAGAAUGACACCCUGCGGGCUGCCGGCCUGGUGGUGCAGAUUGCGCAUGAAGGGAAGAUUGCCGGGCGGUGUAUUCUGUUGGCCGGAGAGCCUAAAUCGGGAAAAACGGCCAUUAUUGUGAGGAUGGCACAGGCGCUUGGCAACGAAACACCCUUUACGAGGAUAUCCGGUUCGGAGAUCCAUUGCGCAAAGGUUUCAACGUUAGUUCCCAUCGAGGAGGAGACAGAAAUCAUCAAGGAUAAAGUUGUGGAAAUUCAGAUCGAUCGUCCGGCUUCCGGCACGGGGCAGAAGGUUGGCAAUUAAGAUCACGUAUAUAGAGACAAACUAUUAUCUCGGAAACAAGAUCGUCCAGUACAGUACUUUAUGAAGGAGCAGAUUCAAGCUGAGGAUGUCAUUACGAUUGAUAAGGCUUCCGGGAAAGUCAGGAAUCUGGGACGGGCAAGGGAUUACGAUGCCACAUGAGCUCAAACGAGAUUCGUCCAGUGCCCGGAAGCAGCUGCAGAAACGCAAGGAAGUGAUUCACACGGCCACGCUUCACGAAAACGAUGUAAUCAAUAGCAGGACACACGGAUUCUUGGCGCUGUUUGCAGGUUACACCGGUGAGAUCAAACAGGAAGUCCUCGAUCAGAUCAUGGAAUGGCGCAAAGUGGGUAAAGCGGAAGCCAAUCCCGGAGUGUUGUUCAUCGACGAGGCCCAUAUGUUGGAUAUCGAAUGCUUUUCCUUCCUGAGCAGAGCCUUGGCAAGCGAUAUGGCCCCGGUCGUAAUCAUGGCCAUCAAUCGAGGCAUUAUCAAAACCCGUGGGACCAACUGUCGCAGCCUGCCCGGAAUCCUAAUCGAUCUGCUCGAUCGAAUGAUCAUCAUUCGAACGGUUCCCUACUCAGCGAAGGAAAUCAAAAAAGUUCUAAACUGCCUCUUUUCGCUUAACAGUCCCAUGUGAUAGGAAACCCAGCAAAGAUGGGACUGUUAUGCGAAUAGGGGCAGUAAAUGGUUGGUUAUUGGAAGGAUUACAUACCAGUUUGUGCUACGCUAUUCAAUCGGCUUGGUCAACUAGAGGCGCAAGGCGGCCACAGAAGAGGUAUUCCCUGUUUCUGGACGAAAAGCGUUCCAGCAUGAUCAUGAAAAAGAACCAGGACGAGUGCUAUUCUACGACGACAGCUUGUUACAGGUGGAACAACAGGCAAUGGAAGUAUGAGACCUACUGACUAAUCAACCGUUGUAUAAGCCAUUCCUGACAACCAUGGACAUUCAUCAAUCACUCCGGGAUCAAAUCAACUGCCAGCUCAACGAUAUUUCUUGGAGAACUAAUCCGUCGUCGAACAAAAAUCUCGCUAUCGUUACAUCCAGAGUUCCUACCUACGCCAUAAUUUCAAAUGUUGUUACUAUAAUCAUACGUGUGUAAAUGUUUUAGAAUAUUCAAUAAAUAAAAUGGGGCGUUGGGGUCUUCAGGCGAUUUUGCUGUAACAUAUCCGACAAAAGCCAAACAAAAUAACGACUUGAGCUAAGUCCUAAAGCAGAGGUUUGGUCUAAUAGGUUUAAACACGUCCUCCCGAAUUGCUUGGUCAUGCAAGAAAUUUACUAUUAAAACAGUUCACUUCUGGAGCUGUUCCAGAUGUCUCAGUAGAUUUGAUCGAUCUAAUUAGAAUAUCUAAAUUCGUUGCAGAUGUUUAGACAGAUGUGUUGGUUCACUAAGUCCUCCCAAAUUGCAUAGUGAUGCAAAAAUUAUCAGUCUUUAAUACUGACCACCUUUACCAAGAAUAUCUAAACUCGUUGCAGAGGUUUAGACAGAUUUGCUGGUUCACUAAGUUCCCCUAAAUUGCAAAGUGAUGCAAACAUUACCAGUCUUUGAUACUGACCACCUUUACCAAGAAUAUCUAAAUUCGUUUCAGAGGUUUAGACAGAUUUGCUGGUUCACUAAGUCCUCCCAAAUUGCAUAGUGAUGCAAAAAUUAUCAGUCUUUGAUACUGACCACCUUUACCAAGAAUAGGGUAAUUCUCGCUGAGACCGGCCCACUAUUUACACCUUGUCUUCAAAAAUGUUUAAGGUGCCGAUUUUCUGAAAGCCCUCGCCUAAAAAGUAAGAAAAAUGCAUUUGGUUACUCAAAUUGAUGGACCCCCCGUUAGUUAGAGCCACAACAAUUUUUGCAGACCCCUCGAUUUUGGUCAAAUGGUGGCUCACUAAAACCGUUAUAACUCGAAAGUUUCACCAAAAACCACCUCAAAACGAAAUGUUGUUGAAAAGAGGAGAGAUAGAGCUACUAUUUACAAUAAUAAAAAGUUGGGUCGGCCAUAUUGAUUUUGGCCACCAUCUUGGAUUUUUAUACAAAAACAUUUUUUUCACCAUGAGGGCAACCACCGAUUUUCGAAAUUUUUGCAUCAAUUGAAAGCUGGGACAUUUAUACAUAACAUAUCAAAAAAUUAGAGAUGUCUUUUUCUUCUUUUAAAAGUUAUCUACAGUUUUGUAAAUUGAGCCACGUUUUCUCCAUACAUUUCCAUGCGCGCCGGCAAAGACCUGCAACAGCAACCGAGUUUACGCCUGCAUGUAUACACAAAGGCACGUGCUGCAAAAUUUGGCCAAAUCGGAGGUUCGUUUCCGUUUUUGACUGUUUCUCAAUGAUGUGGGCAUUGUUUUUAUAACUUUUUUAGUGUUUUGAAAAGCUUAAACCUUCAACUUUCCAUUUGUGGGUUCAGAAUUUUAAUUCUUGUUCGUUAACACUGCGAAAAAACGCUGCAUUUAUGUAAACGGUCGGCACCGGGCCCAGUGCGCAAAAGUGGCAUGAUUUACGAAACGGCAGAUAACUUUUGAAAGAAGAAAAAGACAUCUCUAAUUUUUUUAUAUGUUAUGUAUAAAUAUCCCAGCUUUCAAUUGAUGCAAAAAUUUCGAAAAUCGGUGGUUGCCCUCAUGGUGAAAAAAAUGUUUUUGUAUAAAAAUCCAAGAUGGCGGCCAAAAUCAAUAUGGCCGACCCAACUUUUUAUUAUUGUAAAUAGUAGCUCUAUCUCUCCUCUUUUCAACAACAUUUUGUUUUGAGGUGGUUUUCGGUGAAACUUUGGAGUUAUAACGGUUUUAGUGAGCCACCAUUUGACCAAAAUCGAGGGGUCUGCAAAAAUUGUUGUGGCUCUAACUAACGGGGGGGUCCAUCAAUUUGAGUAACCAAAUGCAUUUUUCUUACUUUUUAGGCGAGGGCUUUCAGAAAAUCGGCACCUUAAACAUUUUUGAAGACAAGGUGUAAAUAGUGGGCCGGUCUCAGCGAGAAUUACCCAAU